rnacentral:tRNA from 1 species
GGAGGCGUCGCCUAGUCCGGUCUAUGGCGCCCGACUGCUAAUCGGGUUUGGGGCUACAACCCCAUCGGGGGUUCAAAUCCCCCCGCCUCCG